GUGGCUUGCAUCGUGACCAGCCCGAAGAAUCGACGGUCAUCGGGACAACAGGCGCUGAAGGCUAGUUUUUCUGCAGGAUAGGUGGCCAGAACCUGACCUCUGUCACUGCACAGACGCACACUGUCAUGCAUGACCUGGACCAGUGAAUGGAUCUUUUGCUCGGCCCGGAGGCGCCUCAUGCUGCAUCUGAUGGCUUGCAGACUGUCAUUCUCUAAGCUCGUCCCUAUGGAGGCCAGCUCAAUGGAGCCCAGAUAGCCAACAAUCAUGCCCACAUUGAGGAUACCCUCGCUGGGCUCUAGGACCAAGUCGCCCCCAUCUCCUACAUCCAAGUCUUGCUCUUCAUGGUGGUGAAGGUGGAGAUGACGGAAGUCUGAGUCCAGAAAGACUGAGUCGUCAUUCAGAACAUGGGCCAUUUCCUCCUCAGAGAGCAGGUUGGGGUUGCUCUGAGAACGGGAGGAGUUCCGAUAUGGAGGGAACUCUGGUUCAGACAGUGGACGUGGCUUUGAUGAUGAGCUAACCCCAGGCCUGUCUUUGUCUGAGCUGCUGGAGGAGUGGCUGGAGUUCUCGAAGAUCAUGUUAAAAAUUCCUCCGGACUGCAGCUCUGCCACAACCUUCUCUGCCCUGUUGAUGCCCAGCUGCUUAGAAUCCAGUUUGGGUUUGUACCAUCCCCCACGGGCUCCACAGCCUGACCUGCUGUUAUUGUUGUUGUUAACACUGUUGUCAUAGAAAACAUCUAACUCAUCAUCACUAGAGCAUGAGUCCAGGUAAGAUGCUGCCAUUGUGUUGCUGCUAUGGUGACGACUUCCAGUAGUGCGUUGGUGAUGAUGGUGGCGCCUGUGACGUUCUCCCUCAGCGAUGACCAGUUUCAAGACACCAGAGCAGCGUCCAAUCAGUUUGACCACAUCUUCAUGCGACGCCUUGGAGACAUUGAUGUCAUUGACGGAGAGGAUGUAGUCUCCUGAACGCAAACCUACAUAGUCUGCAGGGCUCCCUUUCAGGAUGCAGCUGAGGACACAAGGACUUUGGCCUGAUAGUGUAAAGCCAUAUCCUGUUCUUCCUCUCGCCACCUCCACAGCCCGGAUACGACCCUGCUGGAUAGAAGAGGAGGGUGGUGAAGGCUGAGGCAGGUUGAGCCCACUUCCACCACAAGGGCGUCUUUUGGAUGAUGCAUCCAUUUGCCUGAACAUUGUGCCAGCGAUCUUCCUCUUGUCCAUUGAUUCAGUAUGUUUCAAUCAGUCAUUAUACGUCCCUAGGCUCUGCUCAAGCAGGAACGCAGAGCACACCCAAUGUCUAUCUUCGUGUCAAACUGCUCUGCUGUUAAGCUGCUACGAAAAAAUGAGUAGCAGUUCUAAAUGCAGUAGAGGGGUGAAAGUUUGGCCUCAGUUCUGGCACAGCCUUUUUACUGUAGCAUUCCCAUCCCGGUGUCACUCUCCCAAUUCACAAGCUCAGUUACCUGCAGCAUGACAGAACACAACCAAGUCAGUCAUGAGAGCCUUUGCCUCCUUAGCAUGCUUUUGCUGUCUUUACCUCAGCUUCUAGCAUGUUUUUGUUCCAUAUAUAGAUCAAACAUGCUGUCUGUAUGGCCUAUAUGGCGGCAUAAGAACUCAUAUAUGGUUAUAAAAUCGUCCAAAAUGUCAAAGGAAAGCUACCAUUAUACUGUUAUUAAUACACUAUUGAUAGUUAAUAGCGCAUUAAGGGGAAGGGACUUAACACACAGCCACACCUGUGCAAGGUGGAGUCAGUGCAGCUCUGUCCAAUGGGAAAUAUGUUUUCAAACCAGAGGCGUUUUCGCACCUGGCAGGCAUGCAGGUAAAAUUUGACAGACUCAGCCUACAACAACCGUAACGUCAGGGUCUUUGAACUGUACUACAGCUGACACUAUUGUAGCCACACCUUGAAAAGCAAGACAGCAAGGAGCCCCACCCAACGCUUCAAAGGGAAACAGUUGUUUCUUCAUGCCAGUGAAUUAAAGUAGAGACAUCUACUUCAGCAAGAAAUCUGCGCGUCUGAGUGUCAAAAGAAAUCUUUGAUGUGUAUGUAUUGUGCAAAGUGUUAUUGGAGCGGCUAAACUUUGAAACCUGAAUUGCUGUUACAAACCAGAAAGGAGACCAAUUACAGCACAGCUGUUUCUCCUCUCUGUGUGAAUGGCAUUGUCCUCUUCUGUGUUUGUGUGGCCUGUCCUCUUUCCAGGUCUCUAUGGUGGAGAGGAGGUGGUGUGGCGACAUCUGAAGUCCUCCUGGAUCCAUCCUCUUCACUUGUGUUUUACAGUCUACAUUUUGUCAUCACGAUUGUGAGACUUUCUGUUGUGAAUCUAUUUUGUACACACGAUGUCUGUUGCAUGUCUGUCCGUCCUGGGGGAGGGAUCCCUCCUCUGUUGCUCUUCCUGAGCUUUCUUCCAUUUCUUGUGUUAAAAUGUUUUUUUUGGGGGGGUGGUUGUCCUUAUGUGAAUCGAGGGUCUAAGGACAGAGGGUGUUGUAUGCAUUGAGGCAAAUUGUGAUUUGUGAUAUUGGGCUUAUAUAAAUAAAACUGACUUGACACAGCACAUACACACACCUGUUAGUUUAUUUAUCUAUGCAUGUAUUUUUGUUAGUUUCAAAAGGUUAUAGAAGUUUUGCAAUAUAGAGUUGCAAUAAGCUCUAUAAAAAGAUCUAAAACAUUGUUGGGACAUAAGUUCAUUUUCUUUCCAAAACUGUAACCUGUGCAGUUUUAGUUUGUAUCGUAAAUGUUAUGUAAAGUGCCAUGCUUAGUGUAAAUCAUACCGAUGACAUGAUAAAGCCUUUGUCAAGUUCUGCCAUAAAAAGUGUUUGCCAUGUGCAGUUGCUUAAUACCUGUGCAAUCAUGAUUUCAGCUCAGGGCGUCAUGAACCAUAUGGCAGCUGUCUGGUAAUCCUGUUAAUACCUUUUAAUCAUGAACCACCCAUCUUAUUGGGUGCUGUAAAACAAGAGCAACAUAUGUUUUCAUACUGUGUAGUCUAUAAAAGGGAAUUCCAGCCUGGCUGAGAAAAGGAAAUUGUACAAAAUGUGAUAACUUGAUCGAAGAGCUCAGUAAGAGUUAGUUAAAGGUCUGAUAACAGGUUUCAAAUGCUUCAACGGACCGUUAAAUGGGCACACGUUGGUAAAUCAUGUAUUUUCUCUUGACCAUUUGUUGCCUGUCUGGCCAGCUUGUUCUUUCUGACAGAGAGGAAGAACAUUUUAAUGGUUGUAUCCUCACAGGUUGACUGUGUUAGAGACACGCCGUGGUUCCUGUGAGUGCCAAGCGGUCAUGUUUGUAAUAGCCUUAUCUGAAAACAGUGGUUUACCAUUUCAGUAGUUAAGCUGAAUUUACAACUCGCAUGGUGGAAGCCAUACAAGUCACAAACAUCACACAAGAUAAGUUUAACAUCUUUAAAUCAUUUAUUCAUUUCUACAACAGACCAUAUGCAGUGAUUAAGCAAUUUAAAAUAUUAAAUUAACUGAAAUACACUAUCUCUUUAAUUCUUGUUUUUUUUUUUUUUUUUAAACAAGCAAUUUAAAGAACAAAAAAAGAUGUGAUGGA